CUCCCGUUCUUCGUCGUGGUGAGCGCGUACCACCUCCCUCUUCUUCCCCGUCCCAUUUCCUUUGAUUUUUAGCGCCUCUAGCGGUCGUCCUAAGAGCACCGUCGGGGCCGGUCAUGGCGCCACCGUCGGCCCCCCUUGCAAGCCGCCCCUCUAGCCGUGUUUUGCCCUGGGUUGGAUACGUGUUGCCCUCCUCUCUCUCUGUGUGCUUUCGGAUUGGGAAACCAUGGCCUGUAGCCCCCUCGUGACCUUCGCCGGCGAGCUCGGGCCGGCCGUCAAUGGUGGCGCCACCGUGAACCUUCUCGGAAACCGCCUCCUCGACCGCGUUUAUGGGGUGGAAUGGACUCGCAUCGCUCUCCUCUUUCUCCCAGUUCAAACGGAAUUGAAAACCGUGCACCGUAGCACCUCCUCCGCUCAACUCCGGCGAGCUUCAGGCACCGGCCAUGGUGGCCACCGUGUUUCUGGCCGGAGCUGGGCCUGUGCGCCGUCCCCUUCCUCUCUCUCUCUUUUUUUUAUUUUUUUUCUUUUAAUCCAGCGCGUUCAUCUGUGAUCCAACGGCCUACAAUGCCCCGUACCCCUUCGAGGGCAUUCUUGUUAAAGAGUCCCCCAAAAAUUAUUGUAUUUGCACCGCAGUCCUCGGCCAGAGAGUUUUUCCACGAUUUAAUUUAUUUAUUUAAAUUCGUUUAGACUCUGCUUUAUUUACAGAAUUGCCACCGCACUGUUUUAGCUAUAAAAUCGUCGUUUGAACUCCGAAUCGAUCCGUUCAAGUUGCGUUAGUUUUGUAAUUUCGUAAGCUUCGUGUUGGUACCACUAUUGUUUAGGUUUACCACUGUUAGAUUUCCUAGUUAAUUACAAGUCCAUAGAUUGUUGUUGAAAUCCCGUUAAAAGCGUAACUUUCGCGUCGUAAGUCCGUUUUUCGUGAAUUUCGCGUUGACGUGAUCGUAGCAGCACGUAGAUGAUUUUGGAAAACUUUUAUUUAAUUUGUUUACUGCUGGUGUACUGUUCUAACUUUAGGAAUUGUUCUCUUGCAUGUUUGUCUUGGUAUGCGUGAUGAUUGUGAUGUAUUGAACGAGCCCAGAUGGUGAGGAGUAUUUCGGGAGUCCGGAGCUCUUUGGGGACCAGCAGGACCAGCAAGAACAGCAGGAGUACGUGAACCAAGGCAAGUAUAGCAUGGGCCUACCUUGUUGUCCUACUCAUUUUUAAGCAUUUCACCCUGCAUGUGCAUAAUAUUGCAAACUAUAAGGACAUCCUAGCUAUUGAUGACAAUUACCUUGUUCCCAAGGGUUUUUAUUGCAU
rnacentral:lncRNA from 1 species